GUGAUUGUUGAUUUUAAGUUUUUUUUGAUUUAAUUUAUAAAUUAAUAUAUUAUAUUUUUGUUUUAGUAUUGUAUAAAGAAUAAAUUUAUUAUGUGGUACUGUAAAGGAUAAUUGAAAUAGUUGAAAAAUUAAUUAUAAAAAAGUAGAUAAAUUAUUGUACCUUUUGUAUCAGGGUUUAUCAAAUUUAUUUAAAUUAAUUUAUUUUCUCGAUUUCAGAAGAGCUANNNNNNNNNNNNNNNNNNNUAAUGUGUCAUGAUUAUUAAAAAUAUUAAUUAGGGAAGAAAUUUCAUUCGUUUUAAAGGUAUCUAGUUUUUUAAGAAAUAAAUUUAAUUUAGAAUUAUAAAUUAUUUAAUUAAUUUUUUAAUUAAAUAUAUUAUAAUAUUAAAAUAAUAGGGGAUAAGCUCUAUUUUUAUUCUAUAAAUUUAUAUUUUAAUCAAUUUAUGUAGGGUUAAGAUCAUCCAUCAUUUAUGAGUACGUUAUAGUAAAUAUUGAUUAAAUUAGAUUUAUUUAAAUUUUAGAAUUUUAUUAAAAUAAUAAAUUUAACAAAAUAUUUUAUGAAAUAAUGAUUAAAUUAGUAUAAUUAUUUGUUUAUAAUAAUUAAAUUGAGAUGAUUAAAUAAGGAACUCGGCAAAUAAACACUCGCCUGUUUAUCAAAAACAUCGUCUUUUGAAUAUAUAGAAGAUAUAACCUGCCCACUGAAGAAUUGAAGGGCCGCGGUAUUGUGACCGUGCAAAGGUAGCAUAAUCAUUAGUCUUCUAAUUAAAGGCUGGAAUGAAUGGUUGGACGAGGUAAAAGCUGUCUCAUUUAAGAUAUUUAUAAUUUAACUUUUUAGUGAAAAGGCUGAAAUAAAGUUGGAGGACGAGAAGACCCUAUAGAGCUUAAUAGGAUUAGUUAAUUUGAGAUUUAGUAUAUGUUUUAUUAUUAAUUUACCUAUUUUGUUGGGGUGACAAGAAAAUAAAUAAACUUUUCUAAAAUUUUACACUAAUGAGUGAAAGUAAGAUCCAUUUUUAGUGAUUAUAAGAAGAAGUUACCUUAGGGAUAACAGCGUAAUCCUUUUUGAGAGUUCUUAUCGACAAAAGGGUUUGCGACCUCGAUGUUGGACUAAGAAAAUAUUUGGGUGUAGAUGUUCAAAUGUUAGUCUGUUCGACCUUUAAUUCUUACAU
rnacentral:rRNA from 1 species